AAUUUUAGACAAUGGGCGCAAGCCUGAUCCAGCCAUGCCGCGUGAGUGAAGAAGGACUCCGGGUUGUAAAGCUCUUUCUUACGGAAAGAAAUCCCGCAGGCCAAUACCCUGCGAGGAGGACGGUACCGCCAUCAGAAGCACCUGCUAAUUACGUGCCAGCAGCCGCGGUAAUACGUAGGGUGCGAGCGUUGAUCGGAAUUACUGGGCGUAAAGCGUGCGCAGGCGGUUGAUUAAGACAGGCGUGAAAUCCCCGGGCUUAACCUGGGAACUGCGCUUGUGACUGGUCAGCUAGAGUACGGCAGAGGGGGGUGGAAUUCCACGUGUAGCAGUGAAAUGCGUAGAGAUGUGGAGGAACACCGAUGGCGAAGGCAGCCCCCUGGGCCGAUACUGACGCUCAUGCACGAAAGCGUGGGUAGCAAACAGG
rnacentral:rRNA from 1 species